rnacentral:lncRNA from 1 species
GCCCACCGAGCCGGCUGCGCCCGGGGCCCCGCGGGGCGAGCGCUGGGGACGCGGCAUCAGCGCAGGAGUCCCGCAGGCGCUGCCCAGCGUCGCAGCCCCGAUACCAGGCUAGAUGGGCCCCUGCUCUCACUGGGCCUGGCAGGUCCUGAGCAGCAGCUUGUGCAUCCCCCAGGUGACCCCAUGUGUGUAGCUGGCUUGGGGGUGGGCUUUCCAGGGUUGUGGGGGUCUGUUCCCAUGGGCGGGGCAGUGAAUAUGCUGUGUGUGGGGAAUCUGCAGAAGUGCCCGUCUCUCUGUAUGGGAGCAGGGGUGGAGGAGAUGUGGGGGGCUGGAGGAAGUGGUGACCAAACAGAGCAGAAUGGGGGAGAGCAGCCAGGACUGAGUGUGGGAGUCUUGUUUCAGAGCCUGGACGCGCAGGGAGGUGGCGGGGGGCAUCUACCAGGCAGAGCUGACCCUGUACGGAGACCCAGUGCGGGAAGACAUGCGGGAGCCGAAGUUCACAGCUGCUGUGGCCUUGGCCCUUCCUUCUGCCCUUUCCUGCUAGAGCAAAGAGCUGCCAGAAAUCUCCUUGUGGCUGUGCUCGGCUGCCCAGCGCAGUGCUCUGUAGCCCCAGCGAACCAUCCUGGUCAGACAGUUCUCAAGCUGCACUGGGAAACUAGGUAAGAUGUUUGUCCCGCUGCUCCAGCCCCCCCUUACCCUCCUCUGGUGGUUAGAAACCUCUUCUUCCAGCUUGCAUUUACUCCUGGCCAUUUAUCCCCGUUUGUUUUUGUGCCAAUGCUGUCCCUUAGUAUCAGGAGCCCUUCUUCCUCCCUGGUGGUUUGGGUGCCAGCUGCUUGCUUUACCAGUUGGGAGUUGAGAUUUCCUUCCAGAAUCCCUGGUAAAGGUCCUCAGCAGCAUUGUGCCAGGAACAGAUCCCUCCUUGCAUGAGGGUUCCCCCAUUGGCUGCUGUUCUCUGAGAUCUACUCGGCUGUGUCCAAGAUGUUGGUAUUGCAGACGUGAGGAGGAUUCGCAGAGCGGCCGAAGGGGCUGGGAUGUGCCUGUCUCCCGGUUGGUAUAACAACAAGAACUGAGGGCCAGAUUCUAAAGAGAUCUGGGCACCUGAGAAGUAGAUAAAAGCACCCACUAGGCCCCUGUUGGCUUUUUAGGUGUCCAAACAGCUGUCAGUCUAGCCUGGGUGUCUGAAUCCCAUGAGCUGCAGUGAAUCAGGACCUGCAGCCCUUUGCAUUUCUCUCAGUGCUGGCAUUCCAAGAGUUACUGGUGACUACGACUCCCAGAGUGAGUGUCCCUAUCCAUUAGGCUGCUCUGACGCUGCCCCUUUCCACCCCCUGAGGUUCCCGUUCUCUCUGGCACAGGGACGGAUUAAUCUCUGGAUUUACUCUCUG